rnacentral:rRNA from 1 species
UACAGAGGGUGCGAGCGUUGUCCGGAAUCACUGGGCGUAAAGGGCGCGUAGGUGGCGCCGCAAGUCCAUGGUGAAAGCUCGAUGCUCAACAUCGAGUCGGCCACGGAGACUGCGGGGCUCGAGCACUGUAGGGGCGGGUGGAAUUCCGGGUGUAGCGGUGGAAUGCGUAGAGAUCCGGAAGAACACCGGUGGCGAAGGCGGCCCGCUGGGCAGGAAGGGGUGGGUAACCACCCGGCUGACACUGAGGCGCGACAGCGUGGGGAGCAAACAGG